rnacentral:rRNA from 1 species
AGAGUUUGAUCCUGGCUCAGGAUGAACGCUAGCGGCAGGCUUAACACAUGCAAGUCGAGGGGCAGCGGGGUGUAGCAAUACACUGCCGGCGACCGGCGCACGGGUGCGUAACGCGUAUGCAACCUACCCAUAACAGGGGCAUAACACUGAGAAAUUGGUACUAAUUCCCCAUAAUAUUCGAAGAGGCAUCUCUUUGGGUUGAAAACUCCGGUGGUUAUGGAUGGGCAUGCGUUGUAUUAGCUAGUUGGUGGGGUAACGGCUCACCAAGGCGACGAUACAUAGGGGGACUGAGAGGUUAACCCCCCACAUUGGUACUGAGACACGGACCAAACUCCUACGGGAGGCAGCAGUGAGGAAUAUUGGUCAAUGGACGCAAGUCUGAACCAGCCAUGCCGCGUGCAGGAUGACGGCUCUAUGAGUUGUAAACUGCUUUUGUACGAGGGUAAACUCACCUACGUGUAGGUGACUGAAAGUAUCGUACGAAUAAGGAUCGGCUAACUCCGUGCCAGCAGCCGCGGUAAUACGGAGGAUUCAAGCGUUAUCCGGAUUUAUUGGGUUUAAAGGGUGCGUAGGCGGUUAGAUAAGUUAGAGGUGAAAUCCCGGGGCUUAACUCCGAAAUUGCCUCUAAUACUGUUUGACUAGAGAGUAGUUGCGGUAGGCGGAAUGUAUGGUGUAGCGGUGAAAUGCUUAGAGAUCAUACAGAACACCGAUUGCGAAGGCAGCUUACCAAACUAUAUCUGACGUUGAGGCACGAAAGCGUGGGGAGCAAACAGGAUUAGAUACCCUGGUAGUCCACGCAGUAAACGAUGAUAACUCGCUGUCGGCGAUACACAGUCGGUGGCUAAGCGAAAGCGAUAAGUUAUCCACCUGGGGAGUACGUUCGCAAGAAUGAAACUCAAAGGAAUUGACGGGGGCCCGCACAAGCGGAGGAACAUGUGGUUUAAUUCGAUGAUACGCGAGGA